GAUGAACGCUGGCGGCGUGCCUAAUACAUGCAAGUCGAGCGAACAGACGAGGAGCUUGCUCCUCUGACGUUAGCGGCGGACGGGUGAGUAACACGUGGAUAACCUACCUAUAAGACUGGGAUAACUUCGGGAAACCGGAGCUAAUACCGGAUAAUAUAUUGAACCGCAUGGUUCAAUAGUGAAAGACGGUUUUGCUGUCACUUAUAGAUGGAUCCGCGCCGCAUUAGCUAGUUGGUAAGGUAACGGCUUACCAAGGCGACGAUGCGUAGCCGACCUGAGAGGGUGAUCGGCCACACUGGAACUGAGACACGGUCCAGAGGCCUACGGGAGGCAGCAGUAGGGAAUCUUCCGCAGUGGGCGAAAGCAUGACGGAGCAACGGCGCGUGAGUGAUGAAGGUCUUCGGAGCGUAAAACUCUGUUAUUAGGGAAGAACAAAUGUGUAAGUAACUAUGCACGUCUUGACGGUACCUAAUCAGAAAGCCACGGCUAACUACGUG
rnacentral:rRNA from 1 species